ensembl:lncRNA
GCAGUGACAAAAUUCUGUGGUCAUGUACCUUGUAUUCUGAGGCCUGCUGUCUCCUUCAGUGCAUAGAACAGGCUGGGUGAAAGAGAACCAUGGUACUGCUGCACUUCCUACUGUAGUAUCUUCCUGCUGGGUGUCUGCCUUCAGAAAUCAUGGCCCAAUGCCAAAUGUCUGUUUUGGUUCCUUCCCCACUGCUCUUGUGGACCCUUUUGCUGGCAGUGACAGAAUCAGCCACAGAGAUUACUUCACAUCUGCCCUGGAGGCCUGGUCAUUUCCAUUUUCUGUGAAUGCUUCAUGCAUGGGAGCUGCUCCAAGCCAUGUGUUACAUUGAUGCUCAGAGUGACUCUACCAGAGCACACCUUUAAAAUUUAGGUAUAAAAGUUACCUGAAUCUAGAAGACAGUUAAGAAGUUGGCAUUUGCACUAGACCAGAGGGGAAAAAAGACAACAGUCAGAUCAGUUCUGCUGGCCAUGACACAAAGUGGAAAUGGGUGUCCCUAAUUAUGGAAUUCAAAGAAUCCAAGUUCUCCACAGCAGCUGCUUUCACAAACUCAAGAUGUGAAGAUUUAAGGACUGUACCAUCUGGAGUGAUCUUCAGUCUCAGCCAUUUCUUUAGCUCCAACUCUUUAGUUCAUUCUUGGAGCUCCAGAAGUGCAGAGCACUUGGACUGUGGGACUUCUGUGCCUCUGUCAAUGAUCACAUACAGAUGGUAUGAAAACACAGAGAUCCAGCGGGUUCCCAUGGCAUUGAGACAAAAUUACGUGGAGUGGAGAAUUCCUUCUGAGAGACUAAAAAACAUGGAGAUGUUAUGGAUGAACGAGGCCAGACUUUCUUCAGAGGAAAAGGCUCUUGUUUAUUUAAAAAGAGCUACAGGAGAUGGAAGGCCUGAGAUAGGCUCAGACCCCCAUGCAACAAGUAAAAAAACCCAAAAACAGUGUGUCUACCCCACAUGCACACUGGGUUCUCCAGGAAGCAUUCCUGUUUUGAGGAACUCAAGUUCCCCAAAAGAGCUCCAAACUCCACCGAACUCCCAUUUUUACAACGCCCUUUGGGUCCAGGAUUGGUGA